rnacentral:rRNA from 1 species
AGCGAACGCUGGCGGCAGGCUUAACACAUGCAAGUCGAGCGGGCCCUUCGGGGUCAGCGGCGGACGGGUGAGUAACGCGUGGGAACGUGCCUUCUGGUUCGGAAUAACCCUGGGAAACUAGGGCUAAUACCGGAUACGCCCUUUUGGGGAAAGGUUUACUGCCGGAAGAUCGGCCCGCGUCUGAUUAGCUAGUUGGUGGGGUAACGGCCUACCAAGGCGACGAUCAGUAGCUGGUCUGAGAGGAUGAGCAGCCACACUGGGACUGAGACACGGCCCAGACUCCUACGGGAGGCAGCAGUGGGGAAUAUUGGACAAUGGGCGCAAGCCCGAUCCAGCCAUGCCGCGUGAGUGAUGAAGGCCUUAGGGUUGUAAAGCUCUUUUAUCCGGGACGAUAAUGACGGUACCGGAGGAAUAAGCCCCGGCUAACUUCGUGCCAGCAGCCGCCGUAACAC